GGCCAGACUCCUACGGGAGGCAGCAGUGGGGAAUAUUGCACAAUGGGGGAAACCCUGAUGCAGCGACGCCGCGUGAGCGAUGAAGUAUUUCGGUAUGUAAAGCUCUAUCAGCAGGGAAGAAAAUGACGGUACCUGACUAAGAAGCCCCGGCUAACUACGUGCCAGCAGCCGCGGUAAUACGUAGGGGGCAAGCGUUAUCCGGAUUUACUGGGUGUAAAGGGAGCGUAGACGGCAUGGCAAGCCAGAUGUGAAAUACCGGGGCUCAACCCCGGGACUGCAUUGGAAACUGCCGGGCUGGAGUGCCGGAGGGGCAGGCGGAAUUCCUGGUGUAGCGGUGAAAUGCGCAGAUAUCAGGAAGAACACCGGUGGCGCAGGCGGCUUGCUGGACGGCAACUGACGCUGAGGCUCGAAAGCGUGGGGAGCAAACAGGAUUAGAUACCCCCGUAAUA
rnacentral:rRNA from 1 species